rnacentral:rRNA from 1 species
GUAGGUGGCAAGCGUUGUCCGGAAUUAUUGGGCGUAAAGCGCGCGUAGGCGGUUCUUUAAGUCUGAUGUGAAAGCCCACGGCUCAACCGUGGAGGGUCAUUGGAAACUGGAGAACUUGAGUACAGAAGAGGAAAGCGGAAUUCCACGUGUAGCGGUGAAAUGCGUAGAGAUGUGGAGGAACACCAGUGGCGAAGGCGGCUUUCUGGUCUGUAACUGACGCUGAGGCGCGAAAGCGUGGGGAGCAAACAGGAUUAGAUACCCUGGUAGUCCACGCCGUAAACGAUGAGUGCUAAGUGUUAGGGGGGUUUUCCGCCCCCCUUAGUGCUGCAGCUAACGCAUUAAGCACUCCGCCUGGGAGUACGGCCGCAAGGCUG